rnacentral:rRNA from 1 species
UGGGGAACAUGACCUUCGGCGGGGGAUAGCCGGCCCCAACGGCCGGGUAAUACCGCGUACGACCACAUGGGGACAUCCCCGAGUGGUGAAAGCAGCAAUGCGCCGAUGGAGUGCCUCGCGGCCUAUCAGCUAGUUGGUGAGGUAACGGCUCACCAAGGCGACGACGGGUAGCUGGUCUGAGAGGAUGGCCAGCCACAUUGGGACUGAGACACGGCCCAGACUCCUACGGGAGCA